GGCGAACGGGUGAGUAACACGUGGGUGAUCUGCCCUGCACUUUGGGAUAAGCCUGGGAAACUGGGUCUAAUACCGAAUAUGACCAUGCGCCUCCUGGUGGGUGGUGGAAAGCUUUUGCGGUGUGGGAUGGGCCCGCGGCCUAUCAGCUUGUUGGUGGGGUAAUGGCCUACCAAGGCGACGACGGGUAGCCGGCCUGAGAGGGUGACCGGCCACACUGGGACUGAGAUACGGCCCAGACUCCUACGGGAGGCAGCAGUGGGGAAUAUUGCACAAUGGGCGCAAGCCUGAUGCAGCGACGCCGCGUGAGGGAUGACGGCCUUCGGGUUGUAAACCUCUUUCAGCACAGACGAAGCGCAAGUGACGGUAUGUGCAGAAGAAGGACCGGCCAACUACGUGCCAGCAGCCGCGGUAAUACGUAGGGUCCGAGCGUUGUCCGGAAUUACUGGGCGUAAAGAGCUCGUAGGUGGUUUGUCGCGUUGUUCGUGAAAACUCACAGCUUAACUGUGGGCGUGCGGGCGAUACGGGCAGACUUGAGUACUGCAGGGGAGACUGGAAUUCCUGGUGUAGCGGUGGAAUGCGCAGAUAUCAGGAGGAACACCGGUGGCGAAGGCGGGUCUCUGGGCAGUAACUGACGCUGAGGAGCGAAAGCGUGGGGAGCGAACAGGAUUAGAUACCCUGGUAGUCCACGCCGUAAACGGUGGGUACUAGGUGUGGGUUUCCUUCCUUGGGAUCCGUGCCGUAGCUAACGCAUUAAGUACCCCGCCUGGGGAGUACGGCCGCAAGGCUAAAACUCAAAGAAAUUGACGGGGGCCCGCACAAGCGGCGGAGCAUGUGGAUUAAUUCGAUGCAACGCGAAGAACCUUACCUGGGUUUGACAUGCACAGGACGACUGCAGAGAUGUGGUUUCCCUUGUGGCCUGUGUGCAGGUGGUGCAUGGCUGUCGUCAGCUCGUGUCGUGAGAUGUUGGGUUAA
rnacentral:rRNA from 1 species